UACGAAGGGUGCAAACGUUGCUCGGAAUUAUUGGGCGUAAAGCGCGUGUAGGCGGCUUGGCAAGUCGGGUGUGAAAGCCCUCAGCUCAACUGAGGAAGUGCACCCGAAACUGCUGAGCUCGAGUGCCGGAGAGGAUGGCGGAAUUCCCCAAGUAGAGGUGAAAUUCGUAGAUAUGGGGAGGAACACCGGUGGCGAAGGCGGCCAUCUGGACGGUGACUGACGCUGAGACGCGAAAGCGUGGGGAGCAAACAGG
rnacentral:rRNA from 1 species